UACGGAAGGCAGCAGUGGGGAAUAUUGCACAAUGGGCGAAAGCCUGAUGCAGCUAUGCCGCGUGUAUGAAGAAGGCCUUAGGGUUGUAAAGUACUUUCAUCGGGGAGGAAAAAACAAAACUAAUAAUUUUAUUUCUUGACGUUACCCGAAAAAGAAGCACCGGCUAACUCCGUGCCAGCAGCCGCGGUAAUACGGAGGGUGCUAGCGUUAAUCAGAAUUACUGGGCGUAAAGAGCACGUAGGUGGUUUUUUUAAAGUCAGAUGUGAAAUCCCUGGGCUUAACCUAGGAACUGCAUUUUGAAACUGAAAUACUAGAGUAUCGUAGAGGGAGGUAGAAUUCUAGGUGUAGCGGUGAAAUGCGUAGAUAUCUGGAGGAAUACCUGUGGCGAAAGCGGCCUCCUAAACGAAUACUGACACUGAGGUGCGAAAGCGUGGGGAGCAAACAGGGAUUAGAACC
rnacentral:rRNA from 1 species